rnacentral:rRNA from 1 species
UACGGGGGGGGCAAGCGUUGUUUGGAAUUACUGGGCGUAAAGGGUUCGUAGGUGGCCAACUAAGUCAGACGUGAAAUCCCUCAGCUUAACUGGGGAACUGCGUCUGAUACUGGAUGGCUUGGAUUCGGGAGAGGAAUGCGGAAUUCCAGGUGUAGCGGUGAAAUGCGUAGAUAUCUGGAGGAACACCGGUGGCGAAGGCGGCAUUCUGGACCGACAUUGACGCUGAGGAGCGAAAGCCAGGGGAGCAAACGGG